rnacentral:rRNA from 1 species
GAAGUAAAAGUCGUAACAAGGUUUCCGUAGGUGAACCUGCGGAAGGAUCAUUAUUGAAUAAACUUGAUGUGGUUGUUGCUGGCUCUCUUGGGGGCAUGUGCACACCCAUUGUCUUUAUAUCUUCACCUGUGAACCUUUUGUAGACCUGAAUAGUUCAUUUUCUGAGGCAACUCAGUUUUGAGGAUUGCUGCCUUUAAAAGUCAGCUCUCCUUGUAUAUUCAGGCCUAUGUUUUUCAUAUACUCCAAUGUAUGUAACAGAAUGUAUUGAUGGCACUUGUGCCUAUAAACUAUAUACAACUUUCAGCAACGGAUCUCUUGGCUCUCGCAUCGAUGAAGAACGCAGCGAAAUGCGAUAAGUAAUGUGAAUUGCAGAAUUCAGUGAAUCAUCGAAUCUUUGAACGCACCUUGCGCUCCUUGGUAUUCCGAGGAGCAUGCCUGUUUGAGUGUCAUUAAAUUCUCAACUAUUAUUAGCUUUUGCUACUAAUGGCUUGGAUAUGGGGGUCUUUGCUGGCUUUGUUAAAAGGUCUGCUCCCCUUAAAUUUAUUAGCUGGUGCCCCGCGUGGACUGUCUAUUGGUGUGAUAAUUAUCUACGCCGUGGAUUUCUGCUUUAAUGGGUUGUGCUGCUUCUAACUGUCUUUUUAUUAAGACAAUAUAUGACAAUUUGACCUCAAAUCAGGUAAGGACUACCCGCUGAACUUAAGCAUAUC